rnacentral:rRNA from 1 species
GAUGAACGCUGGCGGCGUGCCUAAUACAUGCAAGUCGAGCGAACAGAUGAGGAGCUUGCUCCUCUGACGUUAGCGGCGGAAGGGGGAGUAACACGUGGAUAACCUACCUAUAAGACUGGGAUAACUUCGGGAAACCGGAGCUAAUACCGGAUAAUAUAUUGAACCGCAUGGUUCAAUAGUGAAAGACGGUUUUGCUGUCACUUAUAGAUGGAUCCGCGCCGCAUUAGCUAGUUGGUAAGGUAACGGCUUACCAAGGCAACGAUGCGUAGCCGACCUGAGAGGGUGAUCGGCCACACUGGAACUGAGACACGGUCCAGACUCCUACGGGAGGCAGCAGUAGGGAAUCUUCCGCAAUGGGCGAAAGCCUGACGGAGCAACGCCGCGUGAGUGAUGAAGGUCUUCGGAUCGUAAAACUCUGUUAUUAGGGAAGAACAAAUGUGUAAGUAACUAUGCACGUCUUGACGGUACCUAAUCAGAAAGCCACGGCUAACUACGUG